GAAGGAAAUUUUGAUGCAAUAUAGGGUUCAUGGUUGGCAGUUCUCUCUUAAUACUUGAAAAGGGCUAUGUCACUUCCUUUAGGCCUUGUGAUUUCAAGUGAGAAAUCUGCCAUUCAAACCAUUGUUCCCCUACAGAUAAGAUGUUAUUUCCCUCCAUCUGCUUUUAAAAUAUAUGUUUGGGGCAGCCCAGGUGGCUUGGCAGUUUGGUGCCGCCUUCAGCUCAGGGCCUGAUCCUGCACACCCACGAUCGAGUCCUGCAUCGGGCUCCCUACAUGGAGCCUGCUUCUCCCUUUGCCUGUGUCUCUGCCUCUCUCUCUGUCUCUCAUGAAUAAAUAAAUAAAAUCUUUAAAAAAAUAUAUAUGUUUGUCUUUAGUUUCUAGAAACGUUAUUAUUCUGUGGCCUGAUUUAGAAUUUUUUUGUUUAUCCUAUUUGGAGUUUGUUUAGGUUCUUGAAACUGCAGGUGUACGCCUUUAGUCAGUUUGGAGAAAUUUUCAACCUUUAUUUCUUCCAGUAUUAUUUUUAGAUCGACCUUCUUUCUCUUUCUGUUCUGAGACUUCAGUAACAUGAAUGUUAGAUCUUUAAUUGUCCCCUGGGUCCCAAUGACUGUUCUUUUUAAAGUUUUUUUUUUUUCCCCAGUCUGUUUUAUAUCUGUUUAGAUUGAGUAGUUUCUAUCACAGAGGGGCCAGGGAGUGGAGUGCCAACUACCUAACUACUUUCAUUGCUUCUGGAUGUGGUUGGAAGAUUAGCUCCUCCCCUGAUCCUUUGUGACACUCUCCUGAAGUGAAAGCAGAAUUCUGCCUUGGAUAUCCUCCUGCGUUAGUACCACGUGAGGGUGGGCAUUUAGCUCUCCUACCUGUACAAAGGGAAGGAGCAUGUGGGCUUUUUUAUGAGGUUCCCCAAACAAGGGGCAAAAGGGGGAGGUGAUAUUGAAAGUGGGCAACAAUCAAACAUCGAAAGUGGAAUCAGACUCUUGUCCCUUUGGUUGGCUGGUUGAAUCGGAAGAACCCAGGUCUUGGUUAUAGAUGAGCACCUUGCUGUUUGUGGGGUAGGCUGCAAAUGAACUGCUGAUGCAUCACAUCUCCCCUAGAGUGGCCCUGAAGGACACUAGUGUGGAGAAAUCCUCUCUGUGGCCAGAUCUUGGACCAGUACAAUUGGGCAUCGUUUUUGUUUUAGGAGAGGUGGCCUGAUGUAAGGAUAUAUGUGUACUUUUGUGGCAAAUAACUUGUCCAGUUGUUCAGAAGCACUAAAGAAUCAAAAUUGGCAGAUCAGUGAUAAGUUUGUGUGGAACAGGAGCAUGUGGUUAGUAGAGGAAGUGCAAAGUGAAUGGCUAUGUGUGUCACCCAUCAGUGCCUACAGGUACCCAUCAUGGAGGAGAAGGGAAGGGGAGCAGAGUAGUUGAGGUUAGCCAGGCUCAGUCUUCAGCCUUCCCUGUCUUUGCACUCGAGAGCUAUAGAUAAUAUUAGCUACGGUGGCAGAAAUGGAGGUUUUAGGUGAGCCCCACAGCAUGGCAUCCCUCUCUCCCCAGUUGAAGUAGCCACUUCACUUACUGAAAGUCUAACAGGCCAGUUGCGAAGACCAACACUAAGAUCAUGAUCCAGUACAUUAUUUUAAAGGAGACCAAACUGCCACUGGGUAGCAGAUUGUUUUGUUUUAAGAUUUUAUUCAUGAGAGACAGAGAGGCAGAGACACAGGCAGAGGGAGAAGCAGGCCCCAUGCAGGGAGCCCAAUGUGGGACUCGAUCCUUGGACCCCAGGAUCAUGCCCCAAGCCAAAGGCAGAUGCCCAACUGCUGAGCCACCCAGGCAUCCCAGUGGCAGUUUGUUUAUAUCAGAUCUGUUCCCUUCUGGAGGGGGAAAUGAUCCAUCCUUAUUGGGAUUGAUACUAUUUCUGGAUAUGGUAUUAACUUCCCUGCCAACAGGGCCUCUGCAGGCACUAUUAGAACAGAGUGUAUUGACUAUUUGAUCUGCCAGCACUAGUUGGCCAUUACACUGAAGAUGCCAUCAUAGUAUAGACACAAAUGGAUUGAGGUCUUGCAAAGGAGUUUCUCUAGCCAGCGCUGUUGAUAUCCUACACUCUGUAUAUCCACUUUCCCACAAGUCUUAUUGGAGGAUCCCCAGCAAGGUGGAGCCAGACUUGCCCAUCUCAAACUUCCCCACCUGCCUGUUGUCAUUUCUGUGCAUCCUAAGUUCAUUUCUCAGAUAAAUGCCCCAGGCCCCAGGAUUUAUCUCACAAUUUUCUGCUAUAAAGUAUCUGAAGAAGUUCUGUUUUCACAUUUUCUUUACAUCCCCAGCUGCCGCUAGUUCUCUUUUUCCCACUCUCACUUGUAGAUAUUACUUCAUGUUCCUUUGAAAGCUCCCCCUUUGGCCCCAUGUUGUGGAACUUGCCAUACGUGGCCCUAAAUCAAGAGUAUUCAUAAGCCCUUUUCUGAGCUGAUUCAGGUUAUGGGGGAUUUCUGAAGAAAACUGGAUCCCCACCUCCACCACCCCAUAAACCUGUGCCUACCCUUCAUUUCCAAGUAUAUUCGUAUUUUUCAUCAUCAUUUUAGCCUUCCCUCUGGGUUCUAAUUUUUAUACUUACAGCUUAAACAUACCUGCCUUUAUCAUCAUGUUUUCUGAUCCAUUUUCUUUUUUUUAAUAAUAAAUUUAUUUUUUAUUGUGUUCAGUUUACCAACAUACAGAAUAACACCCAGUUCUCAUCCCGUCAAGUGCCCCCCUCAGUGCCCGUCACCCAUUCACCCCCACCCCCCGCCCUCCUCCCCUUCCACCACCCCUAGUUCGUUUCCCAGUGUUAGGAGUCUUUAUGUUCUGUCUCCCUUUCUGAUAUUUCCCACACAUUUUUUCUCCCUUCCACUAUUAUUUAUAUUCCCCAAAUGAAUGAGAACAUAUAAUGUUUGUCCUUUUCCGAUUGACUUACUUCACUCAGCAUAAUACCCUCCAGUUCCAUCCACAUUGAAGCAAAUGGUGGGUAUUUGUCAUUUCUAAUGGCUGAGUAAUAUUCCAUUGUAUACAUAAACCACAUCUUCUUUAUCCAUUCAUCUUUCGAUGGACACCGAGGCUCCUUCCAUGGUUUGGCUAUUGUGGACAUUGCUGCUAUAAACAUUGGGGUGCAGGUGUCCCGGCGUUUCAUUGCAUCUCUUUAAGCAGCACUUCUCUACACAGAUGAAAUCCUAGAUGUUCAUAAAAUAAACUAAAUAUAUGGAGAAUUCAGUUACUCAGAGGAACAGUAUUUUCUGACUUUGUUGUCACCAUUUCUGGAACUCCACUGCUCCUCACUGAUUAACGGAACUUCAUGAAGUUUGAUGUGUUACUCUUCCAAAAUCACAGCAACCCCAGUGUACAUUUCCUCAUGAGUUGUGUACUACCUGCCUGCUGUGGCUCUCUACAGCUUUUGCCUUGUGAUAUUAAUACUUUCAGCCUAUAAAAUGACUGAUAUGCCAGAUAUUCUCUUAAGUCUUUCAAAGUUUUCACCUAGUUUAAAAUAUUCAAAAUUUGUAUUGCUUUCUUGCAUAUUUUCUUUACAUUCCUUCCUUGUUCUUUUGGACAAGUCUAGGGAAUUAUCUAAAUUGCAUCAAAUUAUCUUAAACUUUAAUUAAAUAUUCCUUAUUUAUUUAAAAAAUGUAUUGAAGCAAAAAAUGUAUUGAAUAAUUUCCAUUUAGUAAUCUCACUUUUAAGAAUAUGUCUUUAUUUGGGGGCACCUGGGUACCUGGGUGGCUGGCUCAGCCUCGGCUCAGGUCAUGAUCCCAGGGUCCAGGGAUCAAGCCCCACAUCAGGCUCGCCACAGGGAGCCUGCUUCUCCCUUUGCCUAUGUCUCUGCCUCUGUGUGUCUCAUGAAUAAAGAAAUAAAAAUAUUUUUAAAAAAUAAUGUCUAUUAAUUUUGAAAUAUAUGUACACAAUUUUGUGGCCACAAUCACCAUCAAACUGUGAAGUAUUUGGGGUACCUGGGUGAUUCAGUUGGUGAAGCAUCUACCUUCAGCCCAGAUUAUGAUCCCAGGGUCCUGGGGUCAGACUCCCUGCUCCAUGGGGAGUCUGCUUCUCUCUCUCUCCCUCUGCCCCACACCUCUGUUCAUACUCUUCCUCUCUCA
rnacentral:lncRNA from 1 species